AGUGGCGGACGGGUGAGUAAUGCGUGAGCAACCUGCCCUUCGGAGGGGGACAACAGUUGGAAACGACUGCUAAUACCGCAUGAUGUGUCUGGGAGGCAUCUCCCGGAUACCAAAGAUUUUAUCGCCGAAGGAUGGGCUCACGUCUGAUUAGCUGGUUGGCGGGGUAACGGCCCACCAAGGCAUCGAUCAGUGGCCGGACUGAGAGGUUGAACGGCCACAUUGGGACUGAGAUACGGCCCAGACUCCUACGGGAGGCAGCAGUGGGGAAUAUUGGGCAAUGGGCGCAAGCCUGAACCCCAGCAACGCCGCGUGAAGGAAGAAGGCCUUCGGGUUGUAAACUUCUUUUAUGAGGGACGAAGGACGUGACGGUACCUCAUGAAUAAGCCACGGCUAACUACGUGCCAGCAGCAGC
rnacentral:rRNA from 1 species